rnacentral:tRNA from 1 species
GGCUCUGUAGCUCAGAAGGUAAGAGCGGGGGACUCAUAAGCCCCAGGCCGUUGGUUCAAUUCCAACCUGAGCCA